CUCCUCCUCCCUGUCCUUCAACUCUAACAGCUGAUGACUUUGCCACAUUCUUCAUUAAUAAAAUUACAACCAUCAGUGCACAAUUCUCCACAACACACACUGUUAAACACAUCUUACCAGAAAACAUAAACUCGCUCACAUCCUUCUCUCCACUCUCUGAGGCCAAAGUCUCCAAACUCAUCCUUUCCAAGCAUCCUACUACUUGUCCACUUGAUCCUGUUUCAUCUCAUCUCCUUCAAGCAAUUUCUUCCUCAGUUGUACCUGCACUCACGCACACAUCCUUAACACAUCCCUUCACACUGGUGUCUCUCCCCCAGCAUUUAAACAGGCUUGGAUAACCCCAGUACUUAUGAAACCAGCACUUUUAGAAAACUACAGACUAGUAUCCCUUCUUCCAUUCACUGCAAAAACACUUGAAUGAGUUGUAUUCAACUAAGUCUCUGCCUUUCUCACACAGAACAAAGUCUGGCUUCAGAAGUGGACAUUCAACCAGGAUUGCCUUGCUCUCGGUUGUUGAAGCCCCAAGACUCAUUGCGCCUCAUGCAGGUCUUCCCUGACGACAGCCACUCAGAGUGUGUUUCCUGUCUGGGGCAGGUGAGAGCAGAAGUCCAAAAGUCCAAAAAUAAGGGCCACCCUACUGUGCAGUGGAAUUCCGAGCAUCUGUCUGCGUUGAGCUCAUGUCCGCCCCUCCGCCGGACUCAGCACUGCCCCUUUAUCUGCAAUCAUACUGAGAGUCAUCCAGCACAGGGCACAGGACUGAGGGGAGCACAGGAGCCAUGGCCGUGUUCUCAGCGCUUUAUUCACUCUUUCUGUUCCAGCUGUUGACAUCGUCUCUCGCUCAGGUAAGACAGAGUUCGACUAAUAACCUGCUUGAUCAUCUGCUGCAGUAAUAUCUAGACUGAGAACUGCAACCAGAUGCGCGAAUGUGGAAACAAUAUUAGUUCACAUCAGUGACUAGCUAAUGAGUUUGUUCAAUCCAUGAAAGAUUAUUAUUGGUAUACAUGUUUUGUUUUGUUUUGUUUUGUUUUGUUUUCAUUAAAAAAAAAAAAUCAGGUUACCUUACAGGAAUUUUUUUCACAGUGUAAUGUGAUCGUCACACAAUGGCAUCUUUGUGAGAUCUUUGCCCACUUCACUAAUUUCAC
ensembl:lncRNA